rnacentral:tRNA from 1 species
CGGUAGUUUAAUAGGCAAAACAACGGUCUCCAAAACCGUUUGAUGUGGGUUCAAAUCCUACCCGUCG